AUUAGCCAUGCAUGUCUCAGUACAAGCCUCAUUAAGGUGAAACCGCGAAUGGCUCAUUAAAUCAGUUAUGGUUCCUUGGAUCUUACCCACACUUACAUGGAUAACUGUGGUAAUUCUAGAGCUAAUACAUGAACCUCGCGCCCCGACCAGUGAUGGAAGGUGUGCUUUUAUUAGAACAAAACCAAUCGGUCGGCUCGUCCGUCCGUUGCCUUGGUGACUCUGAAUAACUUUGGGCUGAUCGCACGGUCCCAGCACCGGCGACGCAUCUUUCAAAUGUCUGCCUUAUCAACUUUCGAUGGUAGGUUCUGCGCCUACCAUGGUUGUAACGGGUGACGGGGAAUCAGGGUUCGAUUCCGGAGAGGGAGCCUGAGAAACGGCUACCACAUCCAAGGAAGGCAGCAGGCGCGCAAAUUACCCACUCCCGGCACGGGGAGGUAGUGACGAAAAAUAACGAUACGGGACUCAUCCGAGGCCCCGUAAUCGGAAUGAGAACACUUUAAAUCCUUUAACGAGGAUCUAUUGGAGGGCAAGUCUGGUGCCAGCAGCCGCGGUAAUUCCAGCUCCAAUAGCGUAUAUUAACCUUGUUGCGGUUAAAUUUCUUGUACUCGGAGGUGUGUCUUGUACCCUCGGUUCUCCGCUUGUCGUUGAUCAUCUGUUCGGUCUGGACAUCCUGCCUGUCGCAAAAGAUAAAAAAUCCCCUUAUUCUUCUUUGUUUUCUUUUUUUGAUUGUUCCCGUUGUUUUUCUUUUUUUACUUUCCCUUUCCCCUUACCGUUUCUUAUUAUUUCUUUUGAUCUUCUGCAUAUUCCUCUCUCCUGUAACCCCCGCAACAUGUCUUUCCCCCUCCCCCCUAUAUCUCUCUAUAUUCUUCCUACCUUAAAUAACUCUGUCCCGAAUUCCCCCCUCUAUCAUCGA
rnacentral:rRNA from 1 species